rnacentral:lncRNA from 1 species
CACUCAAGGUUGGCCUUGAAGAACACUUAUGAGAGAAAGUAUUCCUAAUGGAAUUCCUAAUUUAAAAAAAAUUUUUUUUAAUUUAUUUAUGAUAGUCACACAGAGAGAGAGAGAGAGAGGCAGAGACACAGGCAGAGGGAGAAGCAGGCUCCAUGCACUGGGAGCCCGACAUGGGAUUCGAUCCCAGGUCUCCAGGAUCGCGCCCCGGGCCAAAGGCAGGCGCCAAACCGCUGCGCCACCCAGGGAUCCCCCGGAAUUCCUAAUUUGAAAAUGAAUCUCUUCUAUGGCCUGAGAAGGGCUCCAGGACGNCGCGCCCCGGGCCAAAGGCAGGCACCAAACCGCUGCGCCACCCAGGGAUCCCCCAGAAUUCCUAAUUUGAAAAUGAAUCUCUUCUAUGGCCUGAGAAGGGCUUCAGGACCAGAUGUUCAUACCCUUCAUGCCCAAGGACCUGGAUCACCAUUCCAGAAAUCAAGGCCAGCAGAAGAGCUGGAUGAGGCCACAGACACAAAGGAAGUAUCAUGUUCUAGGAACUAUUGCAAGGACCACUCUACGGGAGUUUAGCUGCCUCCCAUGAAUUUGCAAGAGGAAAAGUGCUCUCCAGGUUUGUGAUGAGGUGAGUCUUCUGUGGCAUGGCCACUGACAUGGACCCUCCACCGCAUAGAAGUGCAUCUUCCAAUAGAUGGCAAAACUAUGCUAUACCUCGAAGGAACUGUCAAGACUUUACUUCAGAUAUUUCAUUAUAUAGAUAAGGAAAGUGGGCCCUAGGAAAGUAGAAUAUUAAGUCCAAUUCUAUAAGAUAGCUGUGUGAUGGAAGAUCUGAGAAUGGAACUCAUAUAUCCUAAACAGAAUGGUAGAUUUUCUUUAUUUUAGUAAAAUCAAUAUAACAUAAAACUUACAUUUUACUCAUUUUGAGUGUAUAG